UUUAAAUUGAGAGUUUGAUCCUGGCUCAGGAUGAACGCUGGCGGCGUGCUUAACACAUGCAAGUCGAGCGAUGAAGUUUCCUUCGGGAAACGGAUUAGCGGCGGACGGGUGAGUAACACGUGGGUAACCUGCCUCAUAGAGUGGAAUAGCCUUCCGAAAGGAAGAUUAAUACCGCAUAAUGUUGAAAGAUGGCAUCAUCAUUUAACCAAAGGAGCAAUCCGCUAUGAGAUGGACCCGCGGCGCAUUAGCUAGUUGGUGGGGUAACGGCCUACCAAGGCGACGAUGCGUAGCCGACCUGAGAGGGUGAUCGGCCACAUUGGGACUGAGACACGGCCCAGACUCCUACGGGAGGCAGCAGUGGGGAAUAUUGCACAAUGGGGGAAACCCUGAUGCAGCAACGCCGCGUGAGUGAUGAAGGUUUUCGGAUCGUAAAGCUCUGUCUUUGGGGAAGAUAAUGACGGUACCCAAGGAGGAAGCCACGGCUAACUACGUGCCAG
rnacentral:rRNA from 1 species